UCUUGCUCUCCAGGCUUCAGGGAUGGCCGCCUGAAGCCUCCGGAGCACAGCAGGAACUCACGCUGCGCUCCGAAGGCUUCGGGUUCCUUUUGCUGAAGCCAGGAGAGCAAGACUCUCCCGGCUUCAGCAGAGAGGGAGAGCUGCGCAGCGCCCCUUCAGCCAAGUGGGAGGAGAAAUGGAAGGGGCUCCGUUUCUCCUGCCACUUUGCUGAAGGGGCGCUGAGCAGAGAGGGGGAGAUUUUUUUUUCUUGUUCUCCCCCUCUAAAACAAGGUGCGUCCUAUGGUUGGGUGCAUCCUAUAGAGCGAAAAAUACGGUAAGUUAGGGACAGUCAACAUCAGCACUCUUCACCCUUGAGCACUGACCGGGCUGGCUGGGGCUUAUGGGAGUUGGUCCAGCAACAUCUGGAAGGGACCAUGUUUUCUACCUCUUCAAUAAGUGGUUCAUGUUAGCCCUUGGGAAUUAAUCAUAUGCAUCUGCUUUAAAAACCUCUCAGAGUAAAGAACUCAGUGUAACUUCACAGACGCAGAACAAGGCUCAAGAUAAUGAUGAGAACAGACUAAGACAACCAUGCAAUUUACAUGACAUUAUUUGUAAAGUCAUCACUGUACACCAGAGAACAAGAGGAACUCAAGAAAACAAGCAAGGCAAUAGCUGUUGUAUGGUCAAUUUUGACCACAGGAAGUGGAGGAAGAGGGAAGGAUAAGAGGAACACGCAGGAGAAGCUGAGGCCACGGCGUCUCUGGCUUAAUCAUCAGGUUUAGCAGGAGAGAAGGAAAUCUCAGGUUUGCAAGCUGGCAAGCCUAGAUAAAUAAUAUUUAAGUUACUUCAGGUAGGCAUCUAAUGCCAAUGCAGAGAUUGGCAGAACUUGUGGGGCUGGAAAUGGCACAAAAUCCUAUAACAGUAACUGUCCUAUUCAAAGCUAUUCUCUUUCUCUCUCUCUCUGCUCAAAAACACACUUCCGUGCUAGCAAACAGUAAGUGUGUAAAGGGGGGGGGAUGCCAAGUUAUAUCGUAACCCAUCUAAAUCUUCCUUUUGAACAUCUUAUUAUUAUUGUGACUUCUGAGCAACUCCUGUUUUCAAUCUCCCCAGGUUCCCUCCCCCCACUGCCCCGCUUAAUGGCUUCUUUUAAUUAAAUUAUGUUGUGGCAUUUUAAACCAAGAUCUUUCCCUCCCCCAAACAACUUCCUCUUCAUUUGCCCUCUUUAUGUUUUUCAGUCUGGUGUUUCACAUGAGCACAGUUUUCCAAGACCGACAUGCGGUACCACAUUAUUAUUAUUAUUAUUAUUAUUAUUAUUAUUAUUACUAUUAUCAAACACAUCAAAUGCGCUCUGUUCUCAGUUAAUCCCUCAAAGGCUUAAAAAGCAGGAGCUGGGAACCUGUGGCCCUCCAGAUAUGGCCAGACUCCAACUCCCAACAUCCUUGAUCAUUCGUCCUGCUGGCCUCAGUAAAUGGGGAAUUCAUUGGCAUUUUGGGGACCCAGCCCUGGCUUAGAGAGCCUCCCUGCUUGGAGUCCCUUUAUCCCGUCACCAAGGCUUGUGUUUAAAACAUUUCCAUGAGCAAGAGAGGAGAAGCCUCUUCUAGAAUUAGAACAUUUCCGUGACGAAAUAUUCUUCCUAAUUUAAUAAAUAAUUAAAUAACAAUACUGGGAUGUGGGUGGCGCGGUGGGUUAAACCACAGAGCCUAGGACUUGCCGAUCAGAAGAUCGGCAGUUCGAAUCCCCGCGACAGGGUGAGCUCCCGUUGCUCGGUCCCAGCUCCUGCCAACCUAGCAGUUCAAAAGCACAUCAAAGUGCAAGUAGAUAAAUAGGUACCGCUCCAGCAGGAAGGUAAAUGGUGUUUCUGUGCGCUGCUCUGGUUCGCCAGAAGCGGCUUAGUCAUGCUGGCCACAUGACCCAGAAGCUGUACGCCGGCUCCCUCGGCCAAUAAAGCGAGAUGGGCGCCACAACCCCAGGGUCGGUCACGACUGGACCUAAUGGUCAGGGGUCCCUUUCCCUUUCCCUAAAAUAAUAAUACUAGUUCAAAUCUGCAUUCAUUACUAUAAGUGCAAUGCAUUAUCUCCCUACCUACGGGACUGCCUCUCCUGGUAUGCCCCACAGAGGACCUUAAGGUCCAUAAAUAGCAACACCCUAGAAGUCCCGGGCCCUAAGGAAGUCAGAUUAGCCUCAGCCAGGGCCAGGGCCUUUUCAACACUGGCUCCAGUCUGGUGGAACGCUCUGUCUCAUUUCUGAUUUCUUUCCGCAGGACCUGCAAAACAGAGCUGUUCCGCUUGGCCUUUGGCUUGGACUCAGCCUGACCCUUAUGUUUCCCUCCCUUUAUGUGAUCUAUGGGCUACUUUUAAAAUGAAGCUGUAUUUUAAAUUGCAUUUUAACCUGUAUUUUAAACUGGUUUUAUUUUUUUGUCCCCCCCCUCCCCAUUAUGGUUUUUACUGUAAUUUUUAUUGUUAGCCGCCC